rnacentral:rRNA from 1 species
UACAGAGGUCUUAAGCGUUGUUCGGAUUCAUUGGGCGUAAAGGGUGCGUAGGCGGCGCGGUAAGUCGGGUGUGAAAUCUCGGAGCUUAACUCCGAAACUGCAUUCGAUACUGCCGUGCUUGAGGACUGGAGAGGAGACUGGAAUUUACGGUGUAGCGGUGAAAUGCGUAGAUAUUGGGAGGAACACCAGUGGCGAAGGCGGCUCACUGGACCGGUUCUGACGCUGAUGCGCGAAAGCGUGGGGAGCAAACGGG